rnacentral:lncRNA from 1 species
CCAAGAACUGGAAAACACUCCUGACUGGAAACAACUACCUCUGCAUUGCAAUUGCACACACCUGCUGCUAUAUAUUUUUAGUAUUUUUUUAGCACUAUUUAUAUUAUUUAUAUUACUACUACUGCUGCUACAGUCUUAUGCUGCAUUAAAACAAAAACCCUUACCAACCACAACCUGGGACUACCUCAAGUAGACUAGUAUACUACUUUCCAGGGCACACUGUUGGAACACUUUAUCAUAUGUUCGGUCUUGUCUUGUUAUAUCCUGUAUGUUACCUAAAUAUAAUGCCUUAAGUCUACCUGCACUUUUUUAUUUUAUAUUACCUUAUUGUUAGGACUGUUUUUGUUGUGCAUCUGCACUUUAUUGUUGUCAAUGUUUACGCAUGGGACAGUGUGAAACGUAAUUUCAAUUCCUUUGUAUGGCAAGUACAUUUGAAGAAAUUGACAAAUAAAAUUGACUUUGACUUUGACAAAUGUCCGUUCUGUGAGCAGAAGGAGACCGUUUCAUUGUUUUUCUGAAUGUGUUCACCUCUCGGCUGUUUGUGCUUCUAAAAGCUAUCUUUAGUAGAUGUAAAAGAAGAAAAUUAAAUUUAACAAAUCAGUGAUCUGUGAAUUCGUAUUUUUCUUUUUUGUCUUUCAAUUCAGGUGCUUUACACUUGUCCUCUCCCAGCAUUCAGCACUUCAGACACUCAACACCCCACCCAGACGACAGCCUUACCCCGACCUGAUGAGAAGGAUGGAUGACCAAAGGACAAACUGGAGAGUGGAGCUGUUUUCCAACUAUGGCAGUGUCUUUAGCAAUCCUGGAACAGCUGAGAGUGGACAGAGCUGCACAGAGGACCAAAGAUCCACUCUCAGCACUUUAUAUCUGACCGGCCCCAGCACCACCCCUCUUCACCCAACGUGAGGAGGGACCUGACCCCGCCUGCACAGAGGGAGUUGUGGACAUCAUUUCUGUGUCACUGGGUUUAGGAACCUUCUCACACACACACACGGAUGAACACUGUCACUGGAAGAUGUCUCCAUUGCAUCAGCAGGAUGUAAGCAUUUAUACAAUAUUGCAGUUUGUGAUGUUUUAUACAUGUUUUUAUCUCUUCAUUUAAAACUAGGAGAUAUAAAAUAAACCAAUUUUCAUAAUAUUUUCUGUGUAUUUCUUUUAUAAUAAGU